GAAGUCAUCAGUCUGCAGAGUAUCCAGGAAUCUGAGUGAGAAAUUGAUGAGUGGUAUUGCGCAUGCUAUCUAUACUCUGAGGGUGGUAAGGCAAUGGCACAGGCUGCCCAGAAAAGCUGUGGAUGCCCCAUCCAUGGAGGAGCUCAAGGUGUCGAUGUGCUGAUGAAUCCCACCACCAUCAGAUUUUUGAAACUACAACUGGUCCUUGAAGUGCUUCCAGAUGAGUAUUUUUUUGUUUUAUUGCUUACAGUUGCAGAAAUACAGCUGACCUCAGUACUGAGAAAUGCAGGCAAUAUGGGAGCUAUUUCAAAGGAGAAAACGACACUGAACUUCGUACCAAGGAAUGAGAUGUGUACACUUUGUCUGUCAACUGCAAAACCACACUUACUCAGUAGUUACUGAGAUGUUGUAGCAUUGAUCAAAAGCUAUGGAAUUAAAUGUAAAGGAAAUCAAUAACAGGCUCCAGUCUGGAGCAGGAAUGUGGAGAAUUUCAGAAAAAGAACUGGAGUUCAGUUGUGAUGGUUCAAAAUAUGUUUGAACAGCAAAAUAUAUAUGCCUAUGGAUAUAUCAUGUUCUGCAGACCAAUACAAAUGGAUUUAUAGAGCGAAACAGUUGGGGCUGUGGACCAGAUGUCCACACCAUACAUUUUUCAGAAGGAUUUUAAUUCAGCCUAUCUCUGGUCCCAUGGUGAAUGCCCACUGGCAGAUGAAGUGCAUUCGGUACACAGUUGCAGCGCUUCUCCUGUUUAAUAGCAGUUGGGAUGAAUCCAUGUCAUACACUCUGAAACAACUCUGCCUUGAGAAGCAAAGCUGGGAAAGUGGGGAGCAGCCAGGAGAUUUCCUCCAGAAGUCCAGUCCCAAUCUGAUCUAAAAUGCUGAUGUAAAUGCAGCCAGUGCAGGCAGCAGGUGGUGAAACUGCUGUGGUUUACAUGACUUGCAGAAAGCCAAAGUAAAAGCAUAAGAACCAAAUGUUUUUAAACAAGAGCAGAUUGUUUUACUGUAGGUGCUAUCAUAGAAACCAUAAAUUAAAGCAGUGCCAGCCAUCUUGAAAAUAUUGUUUAAACUGAGCUUUGAAAAUGAUUUUCCCCAAACUGUUCUUUGCUCAGAAGGAAACCUGAGGAGAAUAAAAAUGUGCAUGAUGUAAUGUGAAGAGUGCACAGAGGAAGCAAUGUUUGUCAAAGCUGUCAGCUCUGAAGAAGAAACUGACAAUUCCCUAUGAAUGAAAAUGAGCCUGAACACAGUGGAUGGCAAGUUAAUGGAAGACUGUCCAUACCAUAACUUUCACUAUUCUUGCACAAGGCAGAAUGGCCAAAGAUUUGCCUACCCUCUCUUUCUAUAAAACGUUAUACUCAGGUCUGCUCCUCAUCCUUAGCCUCAUGAGCCCAUCGCUACAACAAACAUGCACUUCUCAUUUUCUGCUACUCUUCUAUCUCCUGCAGCCUUUGGAAGAUCUGUCCCACAGAGUGCUACUGCACUUCUGUCUUUUGUAACAAUACUUGAAAGAAAAGCAUCUGUCAAACAGUUCUCUACAAGUUAGCAACCUAUGCAAGCAGAAAGAGCAAGUUGUGAAACUGAGUAGGCUGUGAUCCUCCCAGCAGCUUGCCAGGAGAGGGGUUUCUCAGCACGCUGAUAUGCUACUAUGUGCCUGUCUUUUGGGCUGCAAGUCUUCAUGAUGAGUACUCCUAUUUACUACCGGGUAUUAGUGCUCCCGGUAUGUAAUACACAAUUUAUGCAGAAUGGUCUUUUUAAAUCAAUGGCAAAUACCCUCAUAAAGAAAGAACUCAACAUGUAAACCUCAAACCAAAUGAAUGGGAUUCUAAACACAUGAAAUAAAUACUCUGCAUUUCCUCUUCAUACUGAAUAUGGGUAUAGCUUCUGAUGAAAUUGAAUGUUACAAAUAAAACGUUGGCUGUAUGGGAUUAAUAAUUAUGUCAGAAAAUUGUAUUAGUGAGAGACAUAUUUUACAUGGAAAAUUCUGCUUGCCAGCACUUCUUUUUAGUAAAUGUUUUGACAUCACAGCCUUUGCAUUCUUAGAUCUUAUUGGGAUCAUUUUUCUUGUGAAUGGACACACUCCUAGCAAGCGUGCCCUCGGGGAAUCUAAGCUCCAACUUCAAUGGUAGGUACAGAAAAAGAGAUGCUUUAAACAUGUGCUAAGGUGAAGAAGCCGUACUUCAUAAGCAUAAGCUGUGAAACUCAAUCAAUCAAUAGAUAAGUCCUGUUA